GUUUCCACAAUAUCUGGCGUGAUAUAAUGAACGUGAGUAUCUAUACCGCCAGCUGUUAGUAUUUUCCCCCAUCCAUUGUGAACUUCUGUUGCAGGGCCUAUAAUCAUUCCUUUUGUAACGCCUUCUUGUGCAUCUGGGUUUCCAGCUUUUCCUAUUCCAGCGAUUUUCCCGUCUUUGAUGCCAAUAUCGGCUUUUACGAUUCCCCAAUGGUCUAUGAUUACUACUCCCAAAAUACACAUAUCUAGACAAUCUUUAUCUAGAGUAGUUACAGAUUGCCCCAUGCCAUCACGCAC
rnacentral:sRNA from 1 species